rnacentral:snRNA from 1 species
GGUUGUGAUGGUGAUCUGGCUGCUAUGUCUGCCACCCCAUUGAUGGCCAGGGUUGAUUCAGCUGAUCUGCCUGGCUAGGCAGGUAUCCCCGUCCUCCCUCACCGCUCCAAGUGUGUCCCUCCCAAAGCUACACGCAGGGUCGAAAAGGACGACCAUCCCUGAUAGAGAAGGGCGGGUCUUUGGUCAAGGGUGUAGGAGUAGCUGUGCUCCCCUGCAAGAAACUCCAAACGAGCUCUCAAGAAAUGAAUCUCUUAACAAAUUCAGUGGCAUAUUUUUCAUCCAAUUAAUUCGGGCAUAGCAGAUCCUUGAAUAAAGCUGUUUCUUUGAAUGUUGUU